GGGCAAAGACACUUUGUGCUGCAGCGGUUAAGUUUGUUGGUGAGUUGCACUUCCGUGGGUGCUUAAGCGUGUAAUUCGAGGUCAUGUUGGGGGAAAUAUCACGGUGGCGUUUAGCUUUUCACGUUGUCAACAAAGGAGUCUUUGGCGGCGCGAGCCCUAACGAGGGUAGGACAAGACCUGCCAGUUCUAGUCUGGCUGCUGAUUGCUCCAUUUAGGAGGCUGCUCUUUAAAGAGGCUUCUCGUUUAUUCACUUGUUGUUUCUUUCUGAAUUGAAGUCGGGCUUGAUUGACGCUGAAAUAUCCCCGUCGCCAAUUAACUGGCUUGGAUUGAGGUUUUUUUUUUUUUUUUUUUUAAUCUCGGCCUUGUCAAGAGGAGGGCUUAAAAGUAGGCCAUGGCACAUCGCUUAGCAACGGGUCUCAUGCCUGGCGCCAAUACGCAACUGUCUUCUUCCUGUGGCAGCUCAACGUUUUCUCGUUUUAACUCAGCCGCCCAAAGCCACACCAGGACAAACAGGCAAAGUGAAAGAGACCAAUAAAAAAAGUGGCGACACUGUUACCGAUGCAUUUGACGUCACGCGGCACGCUACUUUUUAUGUCAACAAGACAAGCGUCAGAAGCGCCACUCGAAAAGGAACUCGAUAUCUAAUAGGAAGAGGCAACAUCACACAGCAAACAACGUGCAACAUGUAAGUACACACAUACAGUCCUACUACUACUACUACUACUAAGAGAGAAUAACGAACAACACAUCAAAAAAGGGACAAGCUCGCAAUCCUUCGAUACCCCAUGUGUGGACAAGGAGACUACAGCCAUCAAAGCACUUAACUCAUUAGAGCUAACACAAUCCAAUGAAAAGAUUCAACAGCGAUGCCAUCACUGCCACCGCUCAGCUAACAAAUGCCGCUCUCGUUGACGUCGCACUUCCCUAGGCAACAGGCCCGCACUCUGCUCUCAUGAAACGUCUCCUAACUCCAUAAGCCAGAUAUUUCAAGAUUUUUUUUCGAAGUAACGCAUUAAUUACUUUCCCUCGUAUUUGAUAACAUUUACUCAAGAGUAAUUCCAUGAGUAAUCCAAUUACCUUUUUGGGAAAGUAACAAGUAACUAUAAUUAGUUACUUUUUAAAAUAAAUAAUUUGCUGAAACCUGCUAGUUACGCAGAGUAAAACGCUUAAGCCAAGGCUGCGUGCAAGCAGAUGUUCAUUUAUAUUCUUAAAUUAUGUUUUUGUAUUAAAAAAUACCUAAUAUUUUAGCCUCCCUCCUGCUGUUAGAAUAAUUAUGUAUAUAUUAUCACACAACUCUUAUGCUUAAAGGCCGUUGCUAUAGUUAUUAUCAAUUGUGCUGAAGUUGUACUUUUCUAUCCGUGCAAAGGGACAACUUGCAAUCUUGGAUUGCGAGUCGUCUCGUAUCAGUGUUUGUGUCCAGACCCGGCCUGCUGACUGCCAAGGGCGGACAUCGAGUACCUUGACGCAGACAAAGCAGAGACACGGCGAUAUCACGAGUGUCAGCAUUUUUCCAUUUCUGAAUAAUCUUAUAUCGUGUCUAACUGGGGCCGCUGAAAUGACCCCCCCUUCCUGCAGAAGCAGCCUCAGUGAUGUAACCAGGGACCUCCCAAAUAAAUAGAGGAGCACGUGGGCUGUGCCUUAGGGCGUAGGUUGGAACUGUAACUGAGUGUACAG